rnacentral:lncRNA from 1 species
GGAAACCAUGACUGGGGAAGGGAAAUUACGAAGCGGGUUUAGAAAGGGGCGCAUAAAAGAAUACUCAAAGAGCUUGAAUACGCGUGAAAUAUUCCUUAAAAAGGAAAAAGGCAUAGUUAGGGGCUUGGCUAAAACAUUAUCAGAGUUUGCAACGGAAGGUGUAACUGAAUUAAUCAGUGUUUACAGCGGAAUGCAUAACUGAGAUACAUGUAUGAAGACAUGUAUCCUUUCUGAGCCUACUUUAAGUUCGACAAAAACUCCACUCAGCAACAACACUUCAUCGCCCAUCACAGCUCAACCUGCACAAACAUAAACAUCGAAGGGCUAAGUACAAGAGUACUUAGUGGGCAGUUGCCAAGCAUAUAACAUAACAUCAUUAACAAUUUCACAAUAUCGCAUAAGAGGCAUGAGUUUCUUUCAUAUCCUUUGCUCAUUAAACAUUUCCAAAUUCAUAAAUAACAUGAGCGCAUUCUUCAUCAUCAACAAUCAUAAACAAGCAUCGUGUCGUGGAGAAGGCCUUCCCCAACGAACACGGGCAUCGCGCCGUGAAGGGGGCCUCCCUCAGCGGUCACGGCAUCGUACUAUUGAGGGAGGCCUCCCCCAAUAGACGCUGUAACACUGGCAUACUGGCAUCGCGCCGCGAGAGAGGCCUCUCUCAGCGGACACGGGCAUCGCGCCGUGAGGAAGGCCCUCCUCAGCGGACACGGCAUCGUACUGUUGAGGGAGGCCUCCCCCAACAGACGCAAGCAUCAAACAUAAGCAUAAACUUAUCAGCGUAAAGCAUUCAAGCGUAAAUAAGCGUAAUCAAGCGUAAAUCACAUAAGGCGUAAGUAGCAUAAACAGCAUAGCGUAAAUCAUUUAGCGUGAAGCAUAAUAAAGCUUAACUCAAUUAGGCGUAAUAAAGCAUAACACACUUGAAGAUCCAAUUUGCAUUUUUAAAGCAUAACACUUGCAUAGCAUUUUAUUUACGCGUAAGAAAUUGCCCACCUGAUAGCAAAGUUUUGCUAAGGUACUCUAACUCCUUGUGUAGUUC